AACGCACAUUGCGCCCCUUGGUAUUCCGAGGGGCAUGCCUGUUCGAGCGUCAUUAUAACCCUCAAGCCUAGCUUGGUGUUGGGGCCUGCCGUCAGCGGCAGCCCUUAAAAUCAGUGGCGGUGCCAUCUGGCUCUAAGCGUAGUAAUUCUUCUCGCUAUAGGGUUCCGGUGGAUACUUGCCAACAACCCCCAAUUUUUCUAUGGUUGACCUCGGAUCAGGUAGGGAUACCCGCUGAACUUAA
rnacentral:misc_RNA from 1 species